CCAGGAGUCCUGGCUCCCAGCCCCGCCUACUCUAACCCACCAGCCCCCACUCCCCUCCCAGAGCUGGGGAGAGAACCCAGGAGUCCUGGCUCCCUGCCCCGCCUGCUCUCACCCACCAGCCCCCACUCCCCUCCCAGAGCUGGGAGAGAACCCAGGAGUCCUGGCUCCCCUACUCUGGCUCCAGUUACUCUGCCUGGCAGGCCUGUGGAGGAAGGGGGGGCGCAGCCAGCCCUGGGCACCGCAUGCCAUGGCCGUGGCGCCAUCGGGCAGGGCUUGAAGUCAAGUCCCCUCUGCCCCACGGUGCCCCCUAGCGUGGGGCUCCCGCCCCCUGGGGCGGACUCACUCCUUGGUGACAGUGAUGCAGGCGACCUCCCCGUGCGCCCGGCAGGUGGCUGUCCGGCGGAUGUUGCUGCAGAGAGGAGAGAGGCCAUGAGGGAGGCCGGGGGGCUGUGCGGUGCGGGGUGGGGACAGGAGACUUGGCGUCUCUACUGGGACGGGGAGCCAGGGACUGGGGGUCUGCGCCCUGGGUGUGGGCUGGGAGUGUCCGUCUGGGGGCGGGGAGCGGAGACACUGGGGGGCAAGUACCGGGGAGCCCGCCUGCGCUGGGGGGUGACAGGGGUGGGGAGAGCGCCGGAGAGAGCGCACAUCCGGCUGCAAGCACCCACAUGGGUCCUGCAGUGUGCGCGCGCGCAUGCGUGUAUGUGCCGGACCCCACAGUGUGUGUGUGCGUUGCACGUCUGGCUGCAAGUGCCCGCGUGGGCCCCUGCUGUGCGCGUGCCAGGGCCGGCUGGGCGGGGCCGAGGGGCUCCAGGGCGGCACCUACCGCAGCAGCGACAGCUCCCCGAAGUGCUCGCCGGCUCGCAGCACCCGGAUCUGCUCCUCCCGCCCGUGCACGCGCCUGCUGACCCGAACCUGCAGGGAGAUGGGGGCUGGGGCAUCGCUCCUGGGGGGGCUGGAGGGGCAAGAGGCCCUGGGCUGGCAGAGGAGCCCAGUUCGGGGGGGCUGGAGGGGGCAGGGGGCCCAGGGGCACAGCAGGGCAGGGGACUGGUACUGUUUACACCUGGGCUCUCUGAAGGGAGCAGCACCCCGACCCCCAGGCUCCCCAGAGUCACCUACCAGCCCCCAAAGUGCCCCUGCUCCCCUGUGGCCGCGGAGCCGGGAGUGGGCUCUGGUAGGGUUACCAUAUUUAACAAAUAAAAAAAGAGGACCCUCCACGGGGCCCUGGCCCCGCCCAUUUCCCCACCCCUUCCCCGCCCCAACUCC
rnacentral:lncRNA from 1 species